rnacentral:lncRNA from 10 species
CUUCCAUUCCUCAGUCCUUCCCUAGGUGUUAUCAGCAUGUAGAAAAUGGAAUCUAUCUAAUCUAUUCUGACUGAAUUAAAUACACCAGAUGUAUUUCACUUUGAAUUUCAAUUGGUCCAGAACCUUUGUCUUAGCCACAGAAAGUCAGUAACUUAGCUGUUUUCUUUCCUCUUGUGUUAUUUUCUUCGUGGUCCAAGACUCUGGACAAAUAUGAUGCCAAAUGCAGCUGCUCUUGGAACUCACGGCUUCCCAAACCUCAGGAGACACAGUUGGUUGCCCAGGAAUUAAGGACCGGGGGAAACGGCUGUUCACUUCCACCUCUGGCCCCCUGGAUAAAAUAAGAUGUCACAACCUCCAGUACUUCUUACUAUCAGAACCAAUCCUCAGGAGAAAUGCAGUAUUUAACAACAUUUAAGAUGAAAGAAGUUUGCUUAUUAAACAAAAUGUGCCAUCACCAACUCUGUUGGCCAAUUCCACAACAUUUAUGAAUUCCUAUCCUCUUCAUCCAAGUCAUAAUAUCCUGCUUCUAAUGCCAAGCUUUGCAUCAACCCAAAUAUGUAUAAGAUGGGAAGAAGAUAUGGAGCCCAACCACAGACUGAAGAUACCUUGAUUACAGAAGGCUUUGCAGACCUCGGUUAUUUCAAACAUUUUUGUUUUCUGCUUGGUAUCACAGAGUAUUUUUACCCCAGUGCAGUAUACCAGUAAAUUAGAAUGAGAGAGAGGUGACCUUUCUUGUCAAAAUGGAAGAAGAGUGAUUGUUCAAGAGGAGGUAAGAAAGGAGAACCAACACAUUUUCAGAUGACUUUCAGGAAAGACAUAAGUGUUGGGGAUGUGAGAAGUGAUUUCAUUAAAUCUGUGGCUGUUAACCCUUGGAAAGCCUCUGUCUACAGCAAGAACACAUGUAUCUCAGUUUAAAGGCCAUGAUAUAAUCUAUAUUUGAGUGUAUUUUGUUGUUGUUGUUGCUGUGUAACAAUUUAAUACAUGCUUAGAAGCUUCCAACACCACCACCCAUUUAUUAUCUCACAGUUUCUGUGGGUCAAGAGUCUGGACACACUUUAGUUGAGUUUUCUCUUCAGGGUCUCUGGUCAGAGUUGCAGCUCAUCUAAGAUUCAGAGUCCUCUUUUGAACCCACAUGUAUAUUGGCAGACAUUUCCCCACAGUUGAAAUAUUUAUGGUGAUUUGCUUUUUCUAGGUCAGGAAGAGAGAUUUUGUACUGCUCUGAGUUUCUGAUUGUUAGACCCACUUUUAAAUGACUCACCUGAUUAGGUAAGACCCAUCCAGCAUAAUCUCUCUUUUGAUUAACUCGAAGUGAACUAAUUAGGGACCUUAAUUAUGCCUGCAAAAAUCCCUUCACCCUCUCCAUAUAAUAUAAAACAAUCAAAGAAUGGCAUCCAUCAUAUUUGCUAAGCUUUCACCCAUACUCAAGGGAUAGGAUUGCAUAGUGUAUAAACCCUAGAAAGCAAAAAUCUUGGUGCCCAGUUUAGAAUUCUGUUUACCAUGCAUGACAAAACAGAACUUCCUAAACUCCAAAAACUUUCUCUUCAUUUACAAACAGGUUUCACAUAUGCUCUCUUUAAUUAAGUGCCCCUUUUCUAUUUGCUUUUAGGACCUACUUCAAGUCCCUUCUUUACUACUUCAAGUCCCUUCUUUACAAAGCAUUGCAAAGCUUUCCAUCCAACACAGGGAGAUAGAAGUCAUUUCUCCCUUUUUGAAAAUUAAAAUACUAGUUUUGUUAUUUGUAUAAAUAUUUAAUUCCCUUUUUAAACAAGUAACUCCUUGAAUCAUGUCUGAUUUAUCUUUGCAUUGUUUAUGAGAUCAAUGCAUUGUACUGAUGUAAAAUGCACACAAAUACAUGAUUGAGUAAAGGGAUAAAUUAAAAUGUGCCAUUGUUUAAACUUGAUGAUGCUUCUAGCUUUGGCUUCUCAGCCUUUCUCUAUUCUUAUAUCCAGCUGUGCAUAUGAGUAGGUUAUAAAUGUAUAGAAUAUAGAGCCAGUGUCUUCUCUAUCUUUUCUCAUACUUUUUAUUACAAAUCUCAGUGCUAAUUCCUACAUGUAUGGAUGCUCAUAACCAAACAGCCUUAUCUCACUGGUACAAACUGACCCUAAGAUCAACCAAGCAUUUGCCUGGUGUAGUUUAUGGUAACAUGCUUUUUCAUUGUUUCAAUUUAUUUUGAAAUGGAGAAAAUGCAUAUUGGUCAAUUUUCUGAAGAAAGAGUUAAAGGUGGCUGGGAUUCCAUGUCUCUAAUAUUUAAUAAGCGUCUUUCUACUACCAGAUUUUCAAGGGAAAUCUGAAUAUCAGACAUACUACUACAAAAUAUCAUUCUCUUGUGCUGCUGUGGCCACAAACCUUUCUGUAAAUUUCCCAGCUCUAGUGAGAUGGGUCAAAUCACUUGCAAGCCACAGUGAAAAUAUUAGGCCUUUAGUCUAAAACCUAGAAUAAAAGGAAAAAAAAAAACCUUUCUUAAACACUUUAUGGUAGAUCCAAAUCUUAAUUUUGGCCCUCAAGAUCUUGCCAAUGGGAUGGCCAAAAGUAAUCCCCGGUGGGGGAAAAUAUCAAAGGAAAGAAAGAAUUUUCCCUUUGGGUUUAGAGCAGAGUUCACCUAAUGAACACACCGCUGAGCCUUCCUAAUGCAAUAAGGUCCCCUCUUUUGGGGAGUAGCCCAAAAUUUAUAUAUCAUACAAAACAAGAAGCCAACAAUCAGAUCAAGUAAUUCCAAAAGGAAGAUUCCAAGGGGAACAAGUGAUGCAGACAUACAUAUUUUGAGACUCUUCUUCAGGAGAAAAGGGAAACAUACUUGCCCUGAAUUUAUGGGUUAAUAUAAACUUGAACUUGCCCCAUAGCAUACCUCACCUUCUCAGGUAGCAAGCGGGUUUGAGGGGCAUCUCUGAGAGGUCUCCUACUUGCCUAGUGGCCUGAAAUAGCAGGAAAUCUUCCUACCUACUUUGUGGAUCACGCUUCAUUAGAAUACCUACUGGUUUUGGUGAUUGGUUCCCUCUCUUUUCUCUUUUCUGAAAUACCUGUCAGAUAUACAUAAAAAAGUGAAUACAUCUGGCAUUUAGAAAGCCUAAAUUGAGAUCCUUUAAAUUAAAAAGGCCACUCUCUGCUAAAGGAAGGAAGUUACAUUACAAGUAACACUCCUUGAGGAAAAAAAAAGAGGCAUGCAUGCAGAAUUUAAUGCCAGAGUCUAAUUAGUUUUAGACUAGUGCUAUAAAACUUAAAGAGGAGCAAAGAUAAAUAUUUCAGCUAAUUUCCCUAUGUACUGUGAAUAAAAGAGCGAAAAUGAUUCUCAAAUUUGAAUGUUAUGAAGUUAUUUGCAAAGUAUAUUAAGUCAGAUCUUCUAUGUAAUGAAGUGUCUUUACAGUUUAAGAGACUUUCUAGGAGCUGACAUUUCUAUCAUAAAGAACGAGGCUCUUGUGGAUUCAUUAUGACUUCUUGAAACAAUCUGAACUAUAGACCUUGCUGUCUGCCAGCUGCGGACACAUCUACACAUUAACUGUGUCUAGGAGCAGCUCAGUGCACAAAGGCUCAAAGUUAUUUCCACUGUCAUGACCUAAAUCUCUGGCCAAGUGAUACCAUGUUGAAAAGCCUCCUUGAUAAUACCUGAUUUCUUUUUUCUCUUCACACUCACCUAAAGAAUUGCAUUUAAAAAAAAAAGAAAUCAAAUUGCAUGAUAGAAGGUCAUUAGAUAUAUGAAUGUCAUUAUGAAACCAAUCAAUGCAUCACUUUCCCUCCUUUGAUCAGCUUGAAUCCCUUCCUGGGAAGCCCCAUAACUCCUUCAGAAGUGGUCUCCUGUGCGUGAUUACUUUGACACAAUCUAGAUGAUGCUGUAUUAGGGAGGUGAGAAAGAGCAAGUAUCAAAACCAAAAUUACUAUGUAUAAGUUUGCAAAUGAGCUGAUGAUGUCCCCUUUGCCACUUUCACUAAGAAGGGAAAUAUAUUGAUUUGGAGUUACAGAGAUUCUGUUGCUCCUACUUUUACUUUACUGGCUGGUAAAUCUAUCCAACACAUCAUUUUAAAUAAUAGCUAUUUUUUUCAUUGGACUUUUAUAGCUUUUAUAUUAGUUUGUAGGGUUUAUCCCUAUAUGUUUCUAUAGCAAAAGACUGUUUUCUCCUCUAAUUCAAAAGGCAUCCAUGGUUUGUUUUAUCCUGGAAUAAUAUGUUUGCUUUAUAAUGAAAGCAUUUUUAAAUUAUGUAUUUAUACAUUAAUCAUUGGUUGAGACCAUCUUUCUUUCAAUGCACAAUUUGCUAUUUUUAUCUGGAGAAGAAAACAGAAACACCUCCUACUAGGCUACAAGUUCCUUGAGGGGAAGGAAUCUAGUUCCUAGCACAGUGCCUGGGACAUAGCAAGAUUUGAGUAAAUUUUUGUGAAUAAAUAAGUGAAUCAGUGUAAUAGAAAUACUUAUGAUAGCAUAUAUGAAUAUAUACACAAUGUUUACAAAGUGAGUUUACUCUACUUAGGAAUUAACUGCAUAGAUUAACUACUGAUAGCAACUGACCCAAGAUUGGGCCCUCAUAUAUUUGGAAAUAUGAAAUGCAGUUUAGAGAUAAUCAUAUGCUAUUUUCUACAAUUUUUUCAAAAUAGAGAGAAAGUUAAGAAAAAAAUAUGCAUAACUUCCAAUAAUGGAAUUGUAUAAAGUCAUAGCAUUUACUCCCUAAUACAUGUGCAAUUUCAUUUUUAUAAUUUCAUUUCUAUGGUUGUUUUAUGCAAGUAUUAAUAUAAAAAUUGCCAUCAAUCCUGAGAUAAUAUAAUUAAAAUAUUUAUGUUAACAGCAUUCAUUCAUUCAUGAAAAAUGUGUUUAAAUUGUAUCAAAUCAUAUUAAAAUGAGUUGUUUUGAACUACCCUUCAAUCUUGAGUGUCUGUAAUUCCAGGGUUCUGUGAUUAUUUUUCUCUCUGAAAUAGAUUCUAUCACAAAAUAAUGAACUUUUUUAAAGACCUGGAAACACAUGUCCUUCAUCUUGGUAUUGUCUUCAUCUUCCACCAAAAUGUUUAUUGAAUGAAAAACUGUGAAAUGUUAAUUUCUAAGAAUCAAUAAAAGUACUCUAGCCUUGG